rnacentral:rRNA from 1 species
UAGGGAAUAUUGGACAAUGGGCGGAAGCCUGAUCCAGCCAUGCCGCGUGGAGGAAGAAUGCCCUCUGGGUUGUAAACUCCUUUUAUGCAGGAAGAAACCUCCCCAUUCAUGGGUGAGCUGACGGUACUGCAGGAAUAAGCACCGGCUAACUCCGUGCCAGCAGCCGCGGUAAUACGGAGGGUGCGAGCGUUAUCCGGAUUCACUGGGUUUAAAGGGUGCGUAGGCGGGCUGUUAAGUCAGUGGUGAAAUCAGCGGGCUCAACCUGCUAACUGCCAUUGAUACUGACAGUCUUGGAUGAGAGGGAGGCAGGCGGAAUAUUGCAUGUAGCGGUGAAAUGCUUAGAUAUGCAAUGGAACACCGAUUGCGAAGGCAGCUUGCUACUUCUUGAUCGACGCUGAGG